CCAAUCCCUCUGUCUCGUCUUGCGACAGAAGGAACCCUUCGCUUCGAGAAACCCUCUUCUCCCCUCUCCCCUCUCCCCCUCUCCCCUCGUUCAAGAAUCAUUCAAGAAAGCUCCUCCGGCUUCGUCGUCGUCGUCGUCGAUUGCGUAAUCCUUCUCGCCAUCGUCUACGACCGCUUGUGUUGCGCACAAGAUCGUCUCCAUCGAGAGUUGAAAUUUCGGGAAACUUCUUCGUCGUUGUCCUUCUCCUCCGCCUUCGAUCGCUUGGAUGACGGACAUGACCGUUCCCAUCGAGGUCUGCUUUCGUGGAACCUUCUCGUCUUCGUCACACUCGGCUUCGGCCCCCUUGAGGAUGGCGGAUGGGAUCGUCCCUGCUAGGGUCCCUCGGACGCCACGGCUCCUCCAUGCCGGCGUUUUCUACCUGCCGGGGCCCUCGAGAGUGAGAGAAUGACACGCCGCUAGCUCCGGAUGGCCAACCAGAUCGACGGAGCGAGUACCCUCCCGCCGCCUACCUCGGUUACUUUCAUGCUUCUGACAAGGCACGCACCACAGUUUAAAAGGCUCGAGCAGGUUAUUUAGUUUCACCUUAUAAAUUGUUCAGCAUAUCUUUUACUUGUGUUCAUGCUUUAGGUGACUCUGUAAUCAUUACAUGGUAUAGUUUUGUUUUGACGAACAUGUAGAACACAUGUGUCCAUUCUUUUUUCUGAAACGAGUGAUGCUGCUUGCCGUACAGCUCACCCUAGCAUGCUUGCUGUAAUAGGAUGGCUUGGUCAACUUGGUAUCGUCCAUUACUUGUCCAUUUGUUGGUCCGAUCAUUAUUUCACAGCAUCAUGCUGAAUAGAAUUAAGUCAUAUAGGACAUCGAUCUCAGAACGAUGAUUAGGCUAGGCUUUUUCAUUCUGCAGAUCUAGCACCUGCAUUUAUAGAUUAGUGACACCGGCACAUCUAAGUAGUACUUCAUCCAAUUGUUAUCGAAAGGGCAAAUUACUUCAUAUAAAAUAGAUUAAGAUGUUUGCAUGCAAUUGAAUUGUCUAGCUUUGCUUGAAUUGUUAUUUGGUAAAUCUGCUAUUAGAAAAUUCUUUCAUCUUUUUCUCCAUUAGUCCAUUCCUCAUGUAUGUUUAUAUAUUACAUGUGUUUUUUCCUGUCAUAGAUAUUCAUGCCCGAAAGAUCUAUUUAUCUGACUCCAAGAAUUUUCUGUAUGUAUUUGAUCUGUGUGGUAGGACGAACAAACAUAAAGAUUCUAGUUUUGCGCCUUGGAGUGACACAAACUCAUUGCUUGAUAAUGCCCUUUUUGUAGCAAUAACUUGUUAGUCUUUGGAAAGAAAAUGAGAGCAAGUGAAGUUUUAUCUUGUGCCACCUUAAGCGUCGAAGGCUGUCUUAUCUGUAGCUGGCCGUAAGUCUUUUAACUUUGUACUUGUCAAAUAUUUUUCUAUCUCCCAGUUUGCUACUGUUGUUGGCAUUGAAGAGAAGUUGGUUCAUAUGGUCUCCCAGUUGAUCCUGGAGGCUGCCAGAAGGCAAUUUACGCUCUUUUUUUGUUUUUGGGAAUAGGUUUGACAAAUCUGAGAUUCAUUUAUAAUCUUAACGUUAAAUCGCAAAUUUGCUGUGUUGAGCUGUUAAGCCAUCCAAUAAUAAUCUCUUUAAAUGUGACAGAUUAAAGCUGCAAAUUUCUGCUGUAUGUAGUAGGAGGGCUUUGACAAACAGAUUAAUGUCUGAAACGCUGGUUCGGUUUUCAGGUAUUAUGAAAUCCAUGAUUUCAAUUUACGGGACCAUACAUAUUUGUCGUCUUCUUUCAAUUAGUCAGUAUGGGAAAAGUUUUUAUUUAAUGCUACGUGAGUUCUAUUCAUGUUAUUUUGUACAUCCUAAACAAUAUACCAAAGAAUAUAAAUAAUGUGCUUUCUAGAAACGAAAUGUAGCCAACUAGCGGGAACAUCUUAUCUUGCUGUGUCGUCGGUAUAAACAUACAAAAGGGGGGGAUGGAUGUGUCUCAUUCGUAUAUUGUAUCCACCAUGGAACCUCUGGUAUAGCUAGAUAAUUUUCUGUGUUGUUUAUCUUGAUUGCAAAUGUCGUGAAGACCACGUGAAGCGGUGCAAAUUUAUGGGGGCAAGGAUUUAGGCCCACUUGUCCUACAUUGAUUUUCGGACAUGACAAAGACACAUACAAACGUAUGCUAAGAAUCCUUAGUUCCAUACAAAUGUACAACUCUUGUAGCAGUGCAAAUUAAUUUUAUCUGCUUACAGUGGUUGGUCAUAGUUAAAUUUUCUUAUUGGCUUAUUGUUAUGUGAGUUAUUUAAUGAUUUCA